GGAUAAGACCCAACUCUUCGGAGCCUCAGUUUAUUAUCAUCUGAAAUACCCGCACAUAUUCGUAAAGAUGGGCACACAAGGGGAAAAGCUGGAAACCAGCUAAAAGGGCCACUAAAGAGGGACCGUGAUGGAUCAGCACAGUGGACAUUGCAGAAUUGAACGAGGCAGGUCACGAUUCACCAGCAUGGAGAGAUUUUUAAAAUACAAUGGUACUUCUCGGGGCCUGAUAGCGCACUGAAUUGAAACUUGCAGCUGAAACAUUGCCAGAAAAAAGAAACACGGGUGCAAGCUCUGAGCCCCAGUCUUCCCGAAGUCACCCUCCCAGGCGAUGCCUUUGUGUCCAUUCACAGCUCAGAAGGUGUGCUGUAGGAGGAGAGGAGGAGAAGGUCAUGGGUGGGGAAAGAGCUGGGUGGAAAUUGCUUGAAACAAAAAUCCCCAGGGAUUGACGUCGGCAAGCCAUUCCCCAAUCUGGACAGCAGGUGGCGGAAGUGACCGAGAUUUCUUUGACCAUCACCAAAGGGUCCAGAAUCCCCUGGUUCUGCUGUAGAAUGUGCUCCUUCUCCAAGGGCACAGACUAGAGGGCUCCUUCACCGUCUCAAGCAGGUCCACAUGCUCUUCCCAGAGAAAGGCUGCAACGUGCUUUGAGAGAAGAGAACCGGCUCCUCGGGAGUAUGCAGGCAGCCACAGUCUGCCCAGCUGAUAAAGAGAUCGCACGAUUGCCAGACCUUUAUAAAACCUGCACAAUAUUAAACACGAAGAGACCGCACAGCAGUGCCUCCGAGAUCCCACUGCUGAGCACUGAGACGUUUCACGGCGUCCCACGGGCAGUGCCUUGGUACUGGCAUGGGGGACAGGGGCCUCCCUUCUGCUCUUAACCCAGGUCCAGCUCUUCCCAGACCCAACCUUCCACCUCCAGUCACAGCGGAGCCCCAGGGCCCCCCUCUAACCCUGGUGUUCCGAAAACAGAGGUCUGCUAGUGCCAAACUACAAGCCGAGAGGGGAAAGAGGGCGCAGGACGGAGUAAUCGGAGAUGACAGAAACAGGGUCAGCCACCUCCUCCCAGAAAAGGGCGAGAUGAGGACAUUCUUUCUCCCCAAACACCAGCAGUGUUCCGGGCUGGCUUGUGAAGCAGGAGCUAUCAGAUGAGGCAUAAAGAGACGCUAUCAGCAGGACCCGGGCAGCCAGAGCCCAAGCCUGGCUCUCCCCCAGGGCUGGGGCUCCCAUGGCAUUCUUCUGCGAGACA
rnacentral:lncRNA from 1 species